rnacentral:rRNA from 1 species
AACGAACGCUGGCGGCAGGCCUAACACAUGCAAGUCGAGCGAGGACUUCGGUCCUAGCGGCGGACGGGUGAGUAACGCGUGGGAACGUGCCCUUUGCUUCGGAAUAGCCCUGGGAAACUGGGAGUAAUACCGGAUGAGCCCUUUGGGGGAAAGAUUUAUCGGCGAAGGAUCGGCCCGCGUUGGAUUAGGUAGUUGGUGGGGUAAUGGCCUACCAAGCCGACGAUCCAUAGCUGGUUUGAGAGGAUGAUCAACCACACUGGGACUGAGACACGGCCCAGACUCCGCGGAGGGGCAGCAGUGGGGAAGCUUAAACAAGGGGGGAACCCCGAAUGUAGCCGGGCCGCGGAAGCGGGGAAGGACUGAGGUAUGAAAGGCUCUUUCCGCGGGGAAGUUAUGGCCGGCACCAGAAAAAAAGGCCCGGCAAACCCCCGU